GCAUGUGAGGACGAUCUGGCUGCAACAAUUAUCACCCCAUUGACUGUGCACCCCUUCAGAAGGGAGCACAGGGAGCGGUGAGGGGCUGACUCGGCUGCUCUGGCUACUUAAGUGAAUCUCCCUUCCUCCCUCACUGCUCCAUUAGCGUCCCUCCAGACGCUGCAUGCUCGGUCAAAGGGGAGGACCAUUUCCAAAGAGGAGGACUUGCCUUUGAUCGAGGGUCAACAAGAGGUUGCCCUCCCCUGCUAGAACCUCCAAAGAAGCUUUCAAGGAAAUACAGGACCACAAGAUAAGCCUCCUCUCCGUUUUUU
rnacentral:snRNA from 1 species